rnacentral:rRNA from 1 species
UACGAAGGGGGCUAGCGUUGUUCGGAGUACUGGGCGUAAAGCGUGCGCAGGCGGUUUUGUAAGUCUGUCGUGAAAUCCCCGGGCUCAACCUGGGAAUUGCGAUGGAGACUGCAAGGCUAGAAUCUGGCAGAGGGGGGGUAGAAUUCCACGUGUAGCAGUGAAAUGCGUAGAGAUGUGGAGGAACACCGAUGGCGAAGGCAGCCCCCUGGGUCAAGAUUGACGCUCAUGCACGAAAGCGUGGGGAGCGGAACAGG